rnacentral:rRNA from 1 species
CAGCAGCCGCGGUAAGACAGAGGAUGCAAGCGUUAUCCGGAAUGAUUGGGCGUAAAGCGUCUGUAGGUGGCUUUUCAAGUCCGCCGUCAAAUCCCAGGGCUCAACCCUGGACAGGCGGUGGAAACUACCAAGCUAGAGUACGGUAGGGGCAGAGGGAAUUUCCGGUGGAGCGGUGAAAUGCGUUGAGAUCGAAAAGAACACCAACGACGAAAGCACUCUGCUGGGUCGACACUGACACUGAGAGACGAAAGCUAGGGGAGCAAAUGGGAUUAGAUACCCGUGUAGUCCCUGUCUCUUAUAC